rnacentral:rRNA from 1 species
AUUGAACGCUGGCGGCAGGCCUAACACAUGCAAGUCGAGCGGUAGAGAGAAGCUUGCUUCUCUUGAGAGCGGCGGACGGGUGAGUAAUGCCUAGGAAUCUGCCUGGUAGUGGGGGAUAACGUUCGGAAACGGACGCUAAUACCGCAUACGUCCUACGGGAGAAAGCAGGGGACCUUCGGGCCUUGCGCUAUCAGAUGAGCCUAGGUCGGAUUAGCUAGUUGGUGGGGUAAUGGCUCACCAAGGCGACGAUCCGUAACUGGUCUGAGAGGAUGAUCAGUCACACUGGAACUGAGACACGGUCCAGACUCCUACGGGAGGCAGCAGUGGGGAAUAUUGGACAAUGGGCGAAAGCCUGAUCCAGCCAUGCCGCGUGUGUGAAGAAGGUCUUCGGAUUGUAAAGCACUUUAAGUUGGGAGGAAGGGUUGUAGAUUAAUACUCUGCAA